rnacentral:rRNA from 1 species
UACGGAGGGUGCAAGCGUUAUCCGGAUUUACUGGGCUUAAAGGGUGCGUAGGUGGGCAGUUAAGUCAGUGGUGAAAUCUCUGGGCUUAACCCGGAAACUGCCAUUGAUACUAUCUGUCUUGAAUACUCUGGAGGUAAGCGGAAUAUGUCAUGUAGCGGUGAAAUGCUUAGAUAUGACAUAGAACACCUAUGGCGAAGGCAGCUUACUGCGGAGUUAUUGACACUGAGGCACGAAAGCGUGGGGAUCAAACAGG